UUGGCGGCGUGGAUUAGGCAUGCAAGUCGAGCGCUCAUCAGUAAUGGUGGGAGCGGCGAACGGCGUAGUAAGACGUAGGAACGUACCCUCGGGACGGGGAUAGCUAUGGGAAACUGUAGGUAAUACCCGAUAAUCUCUGCGGAGCAAAGGUGUGAUUCCGCCUGGGGAGCGGCUUACGCGAUAUUAGCUAGUUGGUGGGGUAAUGGCCUACCAAGGCGAUGAUGUCUAGGGGGUGUGAGAGCAUGGCCCCCACGACCGGAACUGAGAUACUGUCCGGACACCUACGGGUGGCUGCAGUCGAGAAUCUUCCGCAAUGGACGAAAGUCUGACGGAGCGACGCCGCGUGCGGGAUGAAGGCCCUUGGGUUGUAAACCGCUGUCAGAGGGGAUGAAAUCUUCGGAGGUACUCCUCCGAAGUUGACAGAGCCUCAAAGGAAGCACGGGCUAAGUACGUGCCAGCAGCCGCGGUAACACGUACUGUGCGAACGUUAUUCGGAAUCNCUGGGCUUAAAGGGUGCGUAGGCGGCAAUUCAAGUCAGAUGUGAAAUGCCUGAGCUCAACUGAGGCAUUGCGUUUGAAACUGAAUCGCUAGAGUAUCCCAGGGGUGUGCGGAACUGCCAGUGGAACGGUGAAAUGUGUUGAUAUUGGCAGGAACACCGGAG
rnacentral:rRNA from 1 species